rnacentral:rRNA from 1 species
UAGCUGUCUCCUCUUCCAAGUCAAUGAAAUUGAUCUGUCCGUGCAGAAGCGGACAUAAACACAUAAGACGAGAAGACCCUAUGGAGCUUUAGACACCAGGCAGAUCACGUCAAAAACCUUGAAUUAACAAGUAAAAACGCAGUGACCCCUAGCCCAUAUGUCUUUGGUUGGGGCGACCGCGGGGGAAAAUUAAGCCCCCAUGUGGACUGGGGGCACUGCCCCCACAGCCAAGAGCCACAGCUCUAAGCACCAGAAUAUCUGACCAAAAAUGAUCCGGCAAACGCCGAUCAACGGACCGAGUUACCCUAGGGAUAA